GUGCCUAAUACAUGCAAGUCGUACGCUUCUUUUUCACCGGAGCUUGCUCCACCGGAAAAAGAAGAGUGGCGAACGGGUGAGUAACACGUGGGUAACCUGCCCAUCAGAAGGGGAUAACACUUGGAAACAGGUGCUAAUACCGUAUAACAAUCGAAACCGCAUGGUUUUGAUUUGAAAGGCGCUUUCGGGUGUCGCUGAUGGAUGGACCCGCGGUGCAUUAGCUAGUUGGUGAGGUAACGGCUCACCAAGGCCACGAUGCAUAGCCGACCUGAGAGGGUGAUCGGCCACAUUGGGACUGAGACACGGCCCAAACUCCUACGGGAGGCAGCAGUAGGGAAUCUUCGGCAAUGGACGAAAGUCUGACCGAGCAACGCCGCGUGAGUGAAGAAGGUUUUCGGAUCGUAAAACUCUGUUGUUAGAGAAGAACAAGGAUGAGAGUAACUGUUCAUCCCUUGACGGUAUCUAACCAGAAAGCCACGGCUAACUACGUGCCAGCA
rnacentral:rRNA from 1 species